AGUGGCGGACGGGUGAGUAACGCGUGAGGAACCUGCCUCAAAGAGGGGGACAACAGUUGGAAACGACUGCUAAUACCGCAUAAGCCCACGACCCGGCAUCGGGUAGAGGGAAAAGGAGCAAUCCGCUUUGAGAUGGCCUCGCGUCCGAUUAGCUAGUUGGUGAGGUAAUGGCCCACCAAGGCGACGAUCGGUAGCCGGACUGAGAGGUUGAACGGCCACAUUGGGACUGAGACACGGCCCAGACUCCUACGGGAGGCAGCAGUGGGGAAUAUUGCACAAUGGGGGAAACCCUGAUGCAGCGACGCCGCGUGGAGGAAGAAGGUCUUCGGAUUGUAAACUCCUGUUGUUGAGGAAGAUAAUGACGGUACUCAACAAGGAAGUGACGGCUAACUACGUGCCAGCAGCCGCGGUAAAACGUAGGUCACAAGCGUUGUCCGGAAUUACUGGGUGUAAAGGGAGCGCAGGCGGGAAGACAAGUUGGAAGUGAAAUCCAUGGGCUCAACCCAUGAACUGCUUUCAAAACUGUUUUUCUUGAGUAGUGCAGAGGUAGGCGGAAUUCCCGGUGUAGCGGUGGAAUGCGUAGAUAUCGGGAGGAACACCAGUGGCGAAGG
rnacentral:rRNA from 1 species